rnacentral:rRNA from 1 species
UACAGAGGUCCCGAGCGUUAGGCGGAAUCACUGGGCUUAAAGCGUGUGUAGGCGGAUUUGUAAGUACCUUGUGAAAUCCCACAGCUUAACUGUGGAACUGCUUGGUAUACUGCUUAUCUUGGGCCACUUAGGGGUUACCGGAACAAACGGUGGAGCGGUGAAAUGCGUAGAUAUCGUUUGGAACGCCAAUGGUGAAAACAGGUAACUGGGAGUGUGCCGACGCUGAGACACGAAAGCCAGGGGAGCGAACGGG